AACGUAGGGGUCGAGCGUUAUCCGGAUUUACUGGGCGUAAAGAGCAUGUAGGCGGUUGCUUAAGUCGGACGUGAAAGCUCCUGGCUCAACUAGGAGAGGCCGUUCGAAACUGAGUAACUCGAGGAUGGUAGAGGAGAGUGGAAUUCCCGGUGUAGUGGUGAAAUGCGUAGAUAUCGGGAGGAACACCAGUGGCGAAGGCGGCUCUCUGGGCCAUUCCUGACGCUGAGAUGCGAAAGCUAGGGGAGAGAACGGGAUUAGAUACCCCCGUA
rnacentral:rRNA from 1 species